rnacentral:lncRNA from 12 species
CUAACGGGGAGUGAGUGGAGAUGUGUGAUUUUCUGCCCUCUGAGAACUUUAUGCUCAGAGAACCAAAAUCUGCUUCUGGGAUGAAAAGAAACUCUAACUUCUGCUUCUCAGCCAUGAAGUUACCUUGAUGAGCAGCUCGCUGCAGCAAUCAGAUUAUAGCUCCCAACCCAGAUAUUAAAAUAACAGUUACAGUCCCGCGUCCCGCGUGUUGGCAAACUUGGG